rnacentral:other from 1 species
UCGAUGCUGCGUGGUACGAGAUACAUAUACAUCCCUUUGGCCAAUAAUAUCUUCUAGGGAGCUGUCCCUGCCGGAGCCUUGGUUUCGGUAUAUGGCGCCCACCUGCUAACGCGGGCCUUAGAGGAUGACACGUUGACCGGCUAUCGCGGCAUCACC